CCAGUGAGUCAAUGGUGACAAUCCUCCAUGCUGGUAGGAGAAAGCACUUCUGGCAACUCACUUUCCUAAAUUAUGGAGUUUUACUGCUGUUGCUACAUGCUGCCCAGAAGUGGGAUGAAGAUGACUAAUUGUGAAAAGAAAUGGAGGAAUAUGAAUGAGAAGAAGAAGAGAAUAUAAAAAGAGGUGUGAAGAAUAAUUCAAAUGGGACAGUGAAUAUGAAAGGAAAGGGAUUAAAAAAGAAGAGAAAAAAGGCAUUAAGAGAACACGGGCACCUAUUUCGGGAGAGGGAGACCAGACCUGUGAUUUUAGUGAUCUAAGAGACUCGCAGGAUGGGAAAAUGUACAUAUUUGAAGACAGAGAAGAAGGAGUGGUAGAGAGAAAGAAAAUGAAAAUAUGAAAGCCAAGGGGGCAUAUAUGGAGCAUCCAGAAGCUAUACAAGGAAGAACUGACUGUUGUAGUUUAACUUUGUUUCUUUAAAAGGAAUU